CCUGGGCUGGGCCGGGCUGGGCUGGGCUGGGCUGGGUGUGCUGUGAUGGGUGUGUGUAAGAGUGAGAUGCUGGCGCUUCCAUUGAGGGUGAUAAAAACUGGCUAGAACAGUAGAGGUACGACGUCGGUUUGGGAAAGUUCAGGCAGUGUGCAUCAAGUCAGUGCUGUGGGAACAAGCCUUGGAAAGUAGUGUGCUGAAAGUGUAAUCCACCCACUAGUCGAGAUUCCGGUCAGUUCUUAACCGUUCUUGCAUUCUGAAUCUAGUGCACGAUAAAUUGUUUCGCGGUUCAGUCGUUUGUGGCUAGUGAAAUGUAGUGAGUGCAUCUGCGAUGAGUCCCCAAGAGAAGUGAAGUUCCCGUUUUCAUUCCCUCGAUUCAAUUUCCCUAAUUGGUCUAUUCAUCACGUUCCGUGAGAUAAACAGUUGGUUGAUUUAAUUAUGUCGUCAACUCCCCCCUGAGCGCAGCCCGACGUCCAUUGCGUGCUGAAGCGCAGUGAUGAAUGAAUCUUCAGAGCCCUGACUGACGAUGGGCGGUAAGCCGAGACGGGCUAAUUUAUUAACUGACAAUUAGACACCCGAGGCAUCUCUUUCCCUUCGCGAAAAAAUGCCACGAAAGACGCUCAUCUUCUCGCUCGUUCUGAUGUCUUUAUCCACACGGUGAAAUACCUCCCAUUCCCCAUCCCUCGGAAAAACAGAUUCAAAUGACGACGACGUCUAUUAAUAACAUUCUACCAGAAGCGGAGAAAGUGUUUUGAAUCGAAUUCCUAAGACACGCGGCGAAUGGGCUAUUUUCGGACGGACGAAAACAUGAGACGGUGCUAUUUUUACUCAACUCACCAAAUUACAAUCCACCUACGCGGGACGCACUUCUGGCAACACCUUUCCCUCCUAACCACCUUACCGGCCCCAAAUGCUACUCGAGUGGGUUCAUCAAAACACUCCGUGAGUCAAUUCAGUUCCGAGGGCAAGGAAGAAGAAAGUGAAAAUCUUGCCUGCUGUUUGCAAACGAUACGGAAAAUGCAAGUGGAUGAAUGAGGCUGAUGCUGAUGAUGAUGAUGAUGAUGAUGAUUAUGAUGUCAUCGCUUGUUAGAACACACAGACGCAUGCUCGGCCAGAUUAUGUUAAGGCAGAUCGUUUUGAGGCAAGGCAAGCUAUAGCUGGAGGCAACAUUCUGCACGACUUAAUGAGAAGAGAUCGACUGUUUUGCUACUCACGAAUCGCUGGAAAUGCUCUCGAAUGACAACCAUCCAUCACCCAGAUAAAAGCGCUUGAUUCAACGAGAGCGGAUACCGGGAUUACAUUAAUUGUGGU